CGCAUACGGUGGAUGCCUUGGCAGUCAGAGGCGAUGAAAGACGUGGUAGCCUGCGAAAAGCUUCGGGGAGUCGGCAAACAGACUUUGAUCCGGAGAUCUCUGAAUGGGGGAACCCACCUAGGAUAACCUAGGUAUCUUGUACUGAAUCCAUAGGUGCAAGAGGCGAACCAGGGGAACUGAAACAUCUAAGUACCCUGAGGAAAAGAAAUCAACCGAGAUUCCCUUAGUAGUGGCGAGCGAACGGGGAUUAGCCCUUAAGCUUCAUUGAUUUUAGCGGAACGCUCUGGAAAGUGCGGCCAUAGUGGGUGAUAGCCCCGUACGCGAAAGGAUCUUUGAAGUGAAAUCGAGUAGGACGGAGCACGAGAAACUUUGUCUGAACAUGGGGGGACCAUCCUCCAAGGCUAAAUACUACUGACUGACCGAUAGUGAACCAGUACCGUGAGGGAAAGGCGAAAAGAACCCCGGAGAGGGGAGUGAAAUAGAACCUGAAACCGUAUGCGUACAAGCAGUGGGAGCCUACUUGUUAGGUGACUGCGUACCUUUUGUAUAAUGGGUCAGCGACUUAUAUUCAGUGGCAAGCUUAACCGUAUAGGGUAGGCGUAGCGAAAGCGAGUCUUAAUAGGGCGUUUAGUCGCUGGGUAUAGACCCGAAACCGGGCGAUCUAUCCAUGAGCAGGUUGAAGGUUAGGUAACACUGACUGGAGGACCGAACCCACUCCCGUUGAAAAGGUAGGGGAUGACUUGUGGAUCGGAGUGAAAGGCUAAUCAAGCUCGGAGAUAGCUGGUUCUCCUCGAAAGCUAUUUAGGUAGCGCCUCAUGUAUCACUCUGGGGGGUAGAGCACUGUUUCGGCUAGGGGGUCAUCCCGACUUACCAAACCGAUGCAAACUCCGAAUACCCAGAAGUGCCGAGCAUGGGAGACACACGGCGGGUGCUAACGUCCGUCGUGAAAAGGGAAACAACCCAGACCGCCAGCUAAGGUCCCAAAGUUGUGGUUAAGUGGUAAACGAUGUGGGAAGGCUUAGACAGCUAGGAGGUUGGCUUAGAAGCAGCCAUCCUUUAAAGAAAGCGUAAUAGCUCACUAGUCGAGUCGGCCUGCGCGGAAGAUGUAACGGGGCUCAAACCACACACCGAAGCUGCGGGUGUCACGUAAGUGACGCGGUAGAGGAGCGUUCUGUAAGCCUGUGAAGGUGAGUUGAGAAGCUUGCUGGAGGUAUCAGAAGUGCGAAUGCUGACAUGAGUAACGACAAUGGGUGUGAAAAACACCCACGCCGAAAGACCAAGGGUUCCUGCGCAACGUUAAUCGACGCAGGGUUAGUCGGUUCCUAAGGCGAGGCUGAAAAGCGUAGUCGAUGGGAAACAGGUUAAUAUUCCUGUACUUCUGGUUACUGCGAUGGAGGGACGGAGAAGGCUAGGCCAGCUUGGCGUUGGUUGUCCAAGUUUAAGGUGGUAGGCUGAAAUCUUAGGUAAAUCCGGGGUUUCAAGGCCGAGAGCUGAUGACGAGUCGUCUUUUAGAUGACGAAGUGGUUGAUGCCAUGCUUCCAAGAAAAGCUUCUAAGCUUCAGGUAACCAGGAACCGUACCCCAAACCGACACAGGUGGUCGGGUAGAGAAUACCAAGGCGCUUGAGAGAACUCGGGUGAAGGAACUAGGCAAAAUGGCACCGUAACUUCGGGAGAAGGUGCGCCGGCUAGGGUGAAGGAUUUACUCCGUAAGCUCUGGCUGGUCGAAGAUACCAGGCCGCUGCGACUGUUUAUUAAAAACACAGCACUCUGCAAACACGAAAGUGGACGUAUAGGGUGUGACGCCUGCCCGGUGCCGGAAGGUUAAUUGAUGGGGUUAGCGCAAGCGAAGCUCUUGAUCGAAGCCCCGGUAAACGGCGGCCGUAACUAUAACGGUCCUAAGGUAGCGAAAUUCCUUGUCGGGUAAGUUCCGACCUGCACGAAUGGCGUAACGAUGGCGGCGCUGUCUCCACCCGAGACUCAGUGAAAUUGAAAUCGCUGUGAAGAUGCAGUGUAUCCGCGGCUAGACGGAAAGACCCCGUGAACCUUUACUGUAGCUUUGCACUGGACUUUGAGCCUGCUUGUGUAGGAUAGGUGGGAGGCUUUGAAGCGUGGACGCCAGUUCGCGUGGAGCCAUCCUUGAAAUACCACCCUGGCAUGCUUGAGGUUCUAACUCUGGUCCGUAAUCCGGAUCGAGGACAGUGUAUGGUGGGCAGUUUGACUGGGGCGGUCUCCUCCUAAAGAGUAACGGAGGAGUACGAAGGUGCGCUCAGACCGGUCGGAAAUCGGUCGCAGAGUAUAAAGGCAAAAGCGCGCUUGACUGCGAGACAGACACGUCGAGCAGGUACGAAAGUAGGUCUUAGUGAUCCGGUGGUUCUGUAUGGAAGGGCCAUCGCUCAACGGAUAAAAGGUACUCCGGGGAUAACAGGCUGAUACCGCCCAAGAGUUCAUAUCGACGGCGGUGUUUGGCACCUCGAUGUCGGCUCAUCACAUCCUGGGGCUGAAGCCGGUCCCAAGGGUAUGGCUGUUCGCCAUUUAAAGUGGUACGCGAGCUGGGUUUAGAACGUCGUGAGACAGUUCGGUCCCUAUCUGCCGUGGACGUUUGAGAUUUGAGAGGGGCUGCUCCUAGUACGAGAGGACCGGAGUGGACGAACCUCUGGUGUUCCGGUUGUCACGCCAGUGGCAUUGCCGGGUAGCUAUGUUCGGAAAAGAUAACCGCUGAAAGCAUCUAAGCGGGAAACUUGCCUCAAGAUGAGAUCUCACUGGGAACUUGAUUCCCCUGAAGGGCCGUCGAAGACUACGACGUUGAUAGGUUGGGUGUGU
rnacentral:rRNA from 1 species